rnacentral:rRNA from 1 species
AGCACAGCGAAAUCACAAGCGUCCUUGCAGCAACAAUGGCUCUCCUCAAAAACUUGGCCGCGUUCGUGUGCGUGAUGCUGGCCUCGCUCGCGUUCGCCGCGCAGGCCGUCCUGGCCGCCAGAGGCCUCGCCCCGGCCACCGGUGCUUUAAGCAGCAUGAAUACGUACACGGGUGAAACGCCUGACCCCCCUUGUAAGAAAGGUGAUGAUUACUGUUCAAGCGGGAAACCUGCACAUUAGCCUCCGAGAAGAUAGGCCGCCGGGGAACCACAUUUGGAGGUUGGAGCAUGAAGAUCCAUACAAGUACCGUCCAAACAUGAAUAAAUUAGCUACUGAACACUAGUAUUUGUUGUUGAUAUAAACAUAGUGAGGUGAGACUAUCUAUCGUUGUGUUUUCAUUUCGAAUGAAGGCCAGAGAGCGCCACGUGAUUAUCUAUAAUACCAGGAGAAAAAAAGCCGUGCCGUGUUUACGGGGCACAAUUCUCUUUCUCUGUGUGUUGGUGUUGUAUCUCGCAAGAAGUAAUAUGUGUUUUAAGUGUCUCCG